GACAGAGGGUGCAAGCGUUGUUCGGAAUCAUUGGGCGUAAAGGGCGCGUAGGCGGCGACGUAAGUCAGAUGUGAAAGCCCGGGGCUUAACCCCGGAAGUGCGUCUGAUACUGCGUUGCUUGAGUCCUGGAGAGGGCGGUGGAAUUCCCGGUGUAGAGGUGAAAUUCGUAGAUAUCGGGAGGAAUACCGGUGGCGAAGGCGACCGCCUGGACAGAGACUGACGCUGAGGCGCGAAAGCGUGGGGAGCAAAC
rnacentral:rRNA from 1 species